AAGGGUGAGUAAUGCGACGGUAACCAACCCCACAAAUGGGCAUAGCCGCGGGAAACUGCGGGUAAUUCCCAGCGAUGUUAGCGAGGGGCAUCUCUUGCUAACCAAAGUUCCGGCGUUGUGGGACGGGCCGUUGUGGUAUUAGCUUGUUGGCGGGGUGACGGCCCACCAAGGCUACGAUGCCUACCGGGCGUGCGAGCGUGGCCCGGCACACUGGAACUGAGACACUGUCCAGACUCCUACGGGAGGCUGCAGUCGAGAAUCUUCGGCAAUGGGCGCAAGCCUGACCGAGCGACGCCGCGUGGAGGACGAAGGCCUUCGGGUUGUAAACUCCUGUCGAGGGGGAGGAAGGGCAACUUGACCGAUCCCUGGAGGAAGCACGGGCUAAGUUCGUGCCAGCAGCCGCGGUAAGACGAACCGUGCGAACGUUAUUCGGAAUCACUGGGCUUAAAGCGCGUGUAGGUGGGUUGCCACGUCGGAUGCUGAAAUCCCUCGGCUCAACCGAGGAACGGGCACCGAUACGAGCGACCUGGAGGGGGGUAGGGGGAGCUGGAACUUCCGGUGGAGCGGUGAAAUGCGUUGA
rnacentral:rRNA from 1 species